rnacentral:rRNA from 1 species
CAUGCAGGCGGUUAUACAAGUAGGAUGUGAAAGCCUGGGGCUCAACCUCAGAACUGCAUUCUAAACUGUGUGACUAGAGUAUUGCAGGGGGAGACGGAAUUUCAGGUGUAGCGGUGGAAUGCGUAGAUAUCUGAAAGAACACCAAAAGCGAAGGCAGUCUCCUGGGCAAAUACUGACGCUCAUAUGCGAAAGCGUGGGUAGCAAACA